AGUGAAGCGGUAAAAGCUCAAAUUUGAAAUCUGGUACUUUCAGUGCCCGAGUUGUAAUUUGUAGAAUUUGUCUUUGAUUAGGUCCUUGUCUAUGUUCCUUGGAACAGGACGUCAUAGAGGGUGAGAAUCCCGUUUGGCGAGGAUACCUUUUCUCUGUAAGACUUUUUCGAAGAGUCGAGUUGUUUGGGAAUGCAGCUCAAAGUGGGUGGUAAAUUCCAUCUAAAGCUAAAUAUUGGCGAGAGACCGAUAGCGAACAAGUACAGUGAUGGAAAGAUGAAAAGAACUUUGAAAAGAGAGUGAAAAAGUACGUGAAAUUGUUGAAAGGGAAGGGCAUUUGAUCAGACAUGGUGUUUUUUGCAUGCACUCGCCUCUCGUGGGCUUGGGCCUCUCAAAAAUUUCACUGGGCCAACAUCAAUUCUGGCAGCAGGAUAAAUCAUUAAGAAUGUAGCUACUUCGGUAGUGUUAUAGCUUUUUGGAAUACUGUUAGCCGGGAUUGAGGACUGCGCUUCGGCAAG
rnacentral:rRNA from 1 species